rnacentral:lncRNA from 1 species
CCAUUCUGCCUACUCACAAGGCCAACUCUGAAGGAAAGUCUGAGUGUGUUUCAAACAAAGAAGGACCUGGGACUCAAAUGACCCGAGCUGUCUGCAAGAUAGACUCUUGGGAUAAACCUUAAUCUAUCUCCAGUUCCAAAUUCUCUAGCAUCAGUGGAGAAGCACUUCUCCUUGAGAUUUAGAAGGCUUUCUGAACACAAUGGCCUUGACUUUCAUUUCACUGGACACCGCAGUAUAGUGUAGAAGGGCUUUGGCUGCACAGCUGGUGCCAUCCUGCAGGCAUGGAUGGUGACUUUGGAAAAGGCACACUCUCUGGAAUGUGGGGAAAGACCCUAUGAAGGAGGUGUCAUCCAGGCCAGCUGUGUGGAGUGGUGGGUGCAGUGUGCCAGGAUGGAGAGUGAAGAGAUCUGGCUUUCUGUCCCUGCUCUAUCCCUUCUGGUUCUGACCUUCCCAAGGCAUUUCUCCUCUUUGUGUUUCAAGUUGCUCAUCUGGGGCUGGAGUAUCCCAAACCUUUAAGUUUUCUUGCAAACUCUUAGAUUCUGGGAUUCCUUGGAUUUUGCUCUUAAUCCAGUCUUUAUGACUCUAGUUUCACCAGAAACUCUUUGUGAGGAACAAGGCCCAGCUGUGGGAGGCGUCAGUGAGAGACAUCAAGUCAAACUGAAGCUGCAGGCAGCAGAAAAGAACCAUGAACUGUGGCCCACUGGGCUCACAAUUCUCAAUUUUUUAGAGGUCUGGCAGGUAGCAGGUAACAUGGUCUAUGCCAGAUCGAUGGCAAAGGGAAAUGGUGAAACGCACUGUAAACUGGAGAGGGCAUGCCCCACCUAAAGGCACAGACAGUCAUGUCUUUUAAGCACAGCAGCUGUCAAACAGAACAAAUCUGUGAGUUGGCUUAUACCCAAGGGCAGCAAGUUUGAGACCCCACGCCAUCUCCAGAAUUAGAGAAAAUACGUUUCCUGAAGGCAGCCAACUUGUCUGUCACCAGAUAAGACAUCUUUCUUUUCAGAAAAUCAGGUUAGUGGAUUCUGUUUCAAUCGGAUGCUUCCCAUGGAAUCCAAAAGCAGAGACAAACAGGAUGGACUGGGCAGGAAGGAGCCUAAAGACUUACUGCCCAUCUGAAUCAGACUAGGCCCCGAGCAUCAAGCCCAGAGCUGGUUCCGUUGUUAAGUGGAAAAUCUUGUCUGCAGCCCAAAUGGUCCCUGAUUGCCUUCUGAGCUGAGCAGGCUCUGGGAGCGAGGCAGAGUCAAAUUUAAGUGUGGCUUUUCAGACAAGAGAACAGCAGGCCAGAAAGGGAGACUUCUUGCUAAGCCCCAUUAGCGUUUCAAUAGAGCUUAAAGCAACGGUUCUCUUUGAAAAUGCUUUAUUCAUAAUUGACCAAUUGUCAUUAGAUAUAGUUACACUCUGCGGCAUCUUAUUAGAAGGAGCUUGUUUGAAGCCCCCUCCCCAAGCAUUCACAGUAAAUUCCUAACAGAUGAUGUCAUAACAGGCCGUUACAAUCCAGAACAUGUAGAUACCAUUAAAGCAAUGUGUGUGCCUUUUUGGUACUGAAACAUCUAACUUUAUUAUGAAGCUUGCUAUAAAGUCUGCUAUGAUGUAUUUAAUAAUAUUAAAGCGUUUAUUCUUUAAUAUUGAAGUCACACUGCCCCUGUGAUGCCUGUUAUUCCUGCCACAAACGAGAAUUGCCAAAUCUAUCAGCUCAGCUUUUAAAUACUUCCUUAAGAGAUUUCUUUCUUUCUUCUUUCCUCGUCUUCAUUACUUUUUUUUUUUUUUUUUGCUAUGAAAAAGCAGAUGUUCUAAAGCUACAAGUAACUGAAAACCAGCAAUAUAUGCUCAAAGGCUGAAACCUAAUAUUUAUGAUAAGCUGAUCCAAUGAGAAAUGUCUCCCCAGUGACCCUGGUCAUGAAGUGGGAACCCGUGUGGUCACUGGUCCUGGUGAGACAGUUGUCAUUUAUCAGGAUCCGUGUACUGUGAUUCUCAAUUAGGGAUUUUCCUGACAUCAGCAACUCUCCACCUACUUGAUACAAAAAGCAAAAUAAAUAUGAAAUCCAUCCUUACUGCAUCACAUUCCAUUGGCUUUACAAUUGCCAUAUAAGGCAGUUAUUAUGGAUUCCAUAAUUUAUGUAAGGAGAUUGGGGCUUUGGGGUGGCAGUAACUCUACUUUUUGUCUUUAUCACUAUAACAAACAUUAAAUUUUCUAAUAAGUCCUUCCAGUAGAAAUCACUGUUAUAAAUAUGUAUUUCUAAUUGCUAAAGAGAGUUAGAGAUAUUUAUAUCCAGACCAACAACAAAAAUAAGAGAAAGACUGGUAUUCCCUAGAAGAAACCAUAAAAUUCAGACUGUGGCAGGGACUGGACUAACUGUGGUACCGGAUUGCUAACCCUGGACUUCUGGGGAACAUGUGCAUAUCGGGGAGAAAUUCGAGCCUCCCCCAAGAGCUUCUGGUCCAAGCAUGUUCUGCAUAUUCCAUCACCUGCAGAUUAAUCUGAUAUAACAAGGCCCUCUUUCAAAAAGCAAACAUUUCUUAGAAAGGUUAAGCCUGGGGAUGAUUAUUUUUUGGUACACCUCCUCCUUACUAUAGUCAUCUUGAGAAGAUUCUCUUUAAUUCGAUCUACCAAAUAUUUCAGUGAGUACCUACCGGGUAUAAAAUAGAGCACUGUGUCCAUUAUGGGGGUUAUAGAAACAGAUAUUGUCCAAAUCCUCUUAUUGGCUCCUCAGAGGAGAUACUGUGCAGGUUUCUAACAAGAAGUUUCUUCAUGUACCUCCCCUAAAAGGCUCCUGCUCCUUCUUGUCCUCUGGAACCCUCUGGGGUCUUUAUUGUUCCCAGCGAGGCACUGGAUAUUCAAUUUUUUCCCAAGUCUGCCCUCUUCAUCUGGAAUUUCUUAAUCCCAUGGCUCUAUAUGCCUAUUCUCACUCUUCUAGAACCCUAUUUGGGCCCAAGCCCUGGGCUUCCACUUGCCAAGAGGAAAUGCUUCCAGCUGCUCAGAUGGAAAAGACAAUUUCUAUACAUCCAGCACUACUCGGCCUGCAGGUUAUUAUUGAAGGGAGAACUUAUUUUCCUCUCCAGAAAGUCCAUGAGUAAGAUUCCAGAAAGACUCGCCCCUGUGGUUUUCCUCUCACCCCUCACUGUUGACCACCCCUGACCUCACCCCCAAAGGAGUGGUAAACUGACUGACUGUGAAUUGGGAAGAAAAAGUGGGCAUACAGGGCUCAGGGAUUGCUUCUUUUGCUGGACUCACCUGUUUGCAGGAGGAUGUAUCUGUUCGGGGCCAUAACUAGGGGAUCUGCACCUGGACAUGAGACCUGUAAUUUAUAAGAGGAGGUUAGAUUGAAUUCGGCAGUGUUAGCAAAGCCCACUGGGUCUCACACCUAAGCCACAUUUUUCAAUACACUUAGAAUCAGCAAAAAGCUGAUGUUUUUUAGAUCUCUAUGUGUCCAACCUCUGCCCACCUCUCAUCUGUUCUGAAUACUGCAAAGAGGAGGGCCAUUUUUCUUCGGGUUCCCUAAAAGCUAGCACUUUUACACCUCCCAUGCUAUAGAGGGUACCAACUGCAUCUUGUGCUCCAGGUCUGUCUCCUGUAGCAUUUAUGUGGAGACACACUCCUCACAAAACAGAUGCAGGAUAAUUGCACGGGCUGUUGUGGAACUCCUUCCAGGUACACUGCCAUCCAAUCCCAUUCCUCAUGCACAAAAGCUUCUUCACAGACACAAGUAGGCAAAGGGACUUGAUUAAAUCCUUAUUAGGGGGAGCUCCUAUUGUGGCUCAGCAGGUUAAGGACCUGAUAUCUCUGUGAGGAUGCAGUUUUGAUUCCUUGCCUCAUUCAGUAGGUUAAGGAUCCAGCAUUGCUGCAAGCAGUGGUGUAGGUUGCAGAUGAGGAUCAGAACCAGUGCCGGCAUGGCUGUGGCACAGGCCGGCAGCUGCUGCUCUGAUUUGACCCCUAGUCUGGGAACUUUCAUAUGCCAUAGGUGUGUCUGUACAAAGAAGAAAAAAAUUAAAUCCUUCCUAGUGAAAUGUUAGGGAAGUAAAACUAUAUUCCCCUCCUCAGAGUGUUUGCAGUGACCGUGAUGGAGGAUCACACGAGGAAGCAGCUGGCCAGAGCAACGAGUCAUCACGGUGGGAUUUCAGGUCUCCCAGCGCCGGAUAUUUGAGAACAAAUCUAAUCACCUUACUCUAAGGAUGGAAAGCUUAAAUGCUCACAGUGCAGCCCUAUUCACAACAGCCAAGACAUGAAAACAACCUAAAUGCCCAUCAACAGAUGACUGGAUUAGGAAGAUGUGGUACAUACAAACAAUGGAAUACUACUCAUCUAUAAAAAAGAACAAAACAAUGCCAUUUGCAGCAACAUGAAUGCAACUAGAGACUCUCAUACUUAGUGAAGUAAGUCAGAAAGAGAAAGACAAAUACCAUAUGAUAUCACUUACAUGUGGAAUCUAAAAUAUGGCAGAGAUGAACCUAUCUACAAAAUAGAAACAGACUCACAGACAUAGAGAACAGACUUGUGGUUGCCAAGGGGAUGGCAGAGGAAGUGGGAUGGAUGGUGAGUUUGGGGUUGGUAGAUGCAAACUAUUGCAUUUAGAAUGGAUAAGCAGUGAGGUCCUACUGAAUAGCACAGGGAACUAUAUCCAGUCUCUUGAGAUAAAACACGCUGGAAGACAGUAGGAUAAAAAAACAUGUGUGUGUGUGUGUGGGGGGGUCGCUAUGCUGUACAACAGAAAUUGAC